CGUCUGCCGUUGGCUGUAGCCGGGCGCCGAUUACCAUACGGCUAUAUAGGGCCGGACCGGCCGCUGGGAGCGACACUGCUGCCACCGGCCGCCGCCUUCCAGGUGACCGGCAGACUGGGGAGGACCACAGUGACGACUAGGGACACGAGGACAACAGGGCGAAGGACACCGCAGCGAGAGGACACGAGGACAGCAGGGCGGAGGAGUGUGGGGAGAGACUGAGCAGCACAGCGACGGCAAGACAUCAUCAGAGGGACGGGAAACGACUGCCAACAGAAGACAGGAGAAGACUGCCAACCAAGGCCAGGAGAGGACGGCCAGAGGAGGACAGGAGGGAAAGGCCAACGGAGGACAGGAGAGGACGGCCAACGGAGGAUAAGAGGCCGAAACAUAGAUCUGACAAUCCCAUUACGUGAUAGUUGGGGAGAAGCAAGAGCAAUGCGCCUGAAAAACGUGAUAAUGUUGAUCUUUCUACUGGGCAUCGUAUGCAGCCUUCUCUCACCGGCCACGGCACAACUGUCUGCAAUCACUCGCCGAGCGGCCAAGAAGUACGGGGGACUGCAUGUCAUUAGACCGUCGUGCAGGUGGUGCUACAGACCUUGUGGCCGACGCUGCUGCAGGAAGUGGGGCUGUAGGAGAAGAGGCUGAGACCGACGGAUGGUGACUCGGCCUCACGUGGCUGGUUCGGCCACGAACGCCGCAGCGGCGCCCCUGUCGCGCGGUCGGUGGCGACCUCAUCCGAAGCGUCACCCCGCCGCGGCGUGCCGGCUCCAUACUGCCGUGCCACCGCCGCCCGUCCGCCGCGGGGUGCCGGCUCCAUACUGCCGUGCCACCGCCGCCCGUCCGCCGCGGGGUCAGCUGACGAGACGGUCCGAGGGUUUGUCGGCGGCCCUGCCCGACCGACAGUGCACAUGCCGGGAUGGUAGGCAUCGCCUGCAUACGGCGAGCACCCGCAGUGACCUGCAUCCACCCUAACGACUGCUCCAGCCGGGGGCCCCACCGACUCAGCCCGCCAGGAGCCUGCUCGACGACUUCAGCCCGCCGGGGUCACCCCUAGGAGUGUCGAUGGCGGCAGCUCGGUCCAUUUCCAACAUUUCCCAUUAAGGUCUUCCGAAGCCUGUUGUCUGCCGCCUUUCGUUAGAGGAAGGCACACAUCACAACCGAUCUCCCUCCCUUUCCGGGGGGGGGGGG